rnacentral:rRNA from 1 species
AGAACGAACGCUGGCGGCGUGGAUAAGACAUGCAAGUCGAACGGAGUGUAGUAGCAAUACUGCACUCAGUGGCGGACGGGUGCGUAACACGUGAACAAUCUGCCCGGAAGAGGGGGAUAGCCCGAGGGAACUUGGAUUAACUACCCCGUGUGGUACAGGUGGGCAUCCAUCUGACACCAAAGGUGCUGCAAGGUGCCGCUUCCGGAUGAGUUCGCGUCCCUAUCAGCUUGUCGGCGGGUAACGCCACAGGCAAUGGACGGUAGCUGGU